rnacentral:tRNA from 1 species
GGGGUUUUGGCUCAGUGGCAGAGCGCUUGCCUCACAGGUGUGGGGAGCUGGGUUCGAUCCUCAACACCACA